rnacentral:rRNA from 1 species
CCCCUAGACGUUCUGGGCUGCACGCGCGCUACAAUAAUACGCACAGCGAGUAUCACCGAGCUCGAAAGGGCAAGGUAAACAAUAGAAAAGGUACUGUAAUGGUUAUAAAUCCUUGUAAUUAUUGAUCUUCAACGAGGAAUUCCUAGUAAGUAUGUGUCAUCAUCACGCACUGAUUACGUCCCUGCCCUUUGUACACACCGCCCGUCGCUCCUACCGAUUGAGUGGUCCGGUGAGGCUUUGGGAUCUGAGCGGAAAGAGCGUUUCGCUGUUUCUGCUCGGAAAACUCAGUCGAACCUUAUCAUUUAGAGGAAGGAGAAGUCGUAACA